rnacentral:rRNA from 1 species
UACGUAGGGUCCGAGCGUUGUCCGGAAUUAUUGGGCGUAAAGGGCUCGUAGGCGGUUUGUCGCGUCGGGAGUGAAAACACCGGGCUUAACUCGGUGCUUGCUUUCGAUACGGGCAGACUAGAGGCAUUCAGGGGAGAACGGAAUUCCUGGUGUAGCGGUGAAAUGCGCAGAUAUCAGGAGGAACACCGGUGGCGAAGGCGGUUCUCUGGGAAUGUCCUGACGCUGAGGAGCGAAAGUGUGGGGAGCGAACAGGAUUAGAAACCCCCGUAGUCC